UACGAAGGGGGCGAGCGUUGUUCGGAUUUACUGGGCGUAAAGGGCGCGUAGGCGGCCCUCCUAGUCGCGUGUGAAAGCCCCGGGCUCAACCUGGGAAUUGCGCGCGAAACGGGGGGGCUUGAGUUCGGGAGAGGAGCGUGGAAUUCCCAGUGUAGAGGUGAAAUUCGUAGAUAUUCGCAAGAACACCAGUGGCGAAGGCGGCUUACUGGUCCGGAACUGACGCUGAGGUGCGAAAGCGUGGGGAGCAAACAGG
rnacentral:rRNA from 1 species